AGGGCGCAAGCGUUGUCCGGAAUUAUUGGGCGUAAAGAGCUCGUAGGCGGUCUGUUGCGUCCGCUGUGAAAACUCGGGGCUUAACCCCGAGCCUGCAGUGGAUACGGGCAGACUAGAGGUAGGUAGGGGAGAAUGGAAUUCCCGGUGUAGCGGUGAAAUGCGCAGAUAUCGGGAGGAACACCGGUGGCGAAGGCGGUUCUCUGGGCCUUACCUGACGCUGAGGAGCGAAAGCGUGGGGAGCGAACAGG
rnacentral:rRNA from 1 species